rnacentral:sRNA from 14 species
CGUAAACAAUAGGAAGAUAGAAAUAAAUGAUAAAUGGAAAUGACAAUGACGAGUGUAAGGAGGAGAAUGCUUGGUAAAGGUGGUGGUGCUGAUGUUAUUACUUUUUUGGGUUGUACCAUUCUCUUUCUUGU